rnacentral:rRNA from 1 species
AGUGAACGCUGGCGGUAGGCCUAACACAUGCAAGUCGAACGGCGGCACAGAGGAGCUUGCUCCUUGGGUGGCGAGUGGCGGACGGGUGAGGAAUACAUCGGAAUCUACUCUGUCGUGGGGGAUAACGUAGGGAAACUUACGCUAAUACCGCAUACGACCUACGGGUGAAAGCAGGGGACCUUCGGGCCUUGCGCGAUUGAAUGAGCCGAUGUCGGAUUAGCUAGUUGGCGGGGUAAAGGCCCACCAAGGCGACGAUCCGUAGCUGGUCUGAGAGGAUGAUCAGCCACACUGGAACUGAGACACGGUCCAGACUCCUACGGGAGGCAGCAGUGGGGAAUAUUGGACAAUGGGCGCAAGCCUGAUCCAGCCAUACCGCGUGGGUGAAGAAGGCCUUUGGGUUGUAAAGCCCUUUUGUUGGGAAAGAAAUCCAGCUGGCCAAUACCCGGUUGGGAUGACGGUACCCAAAGAAUAAGCACCGGCUAACUUCGUGCCAGCCGCCGCGGUAA